AUUGAACGCUGGCGGCAGGCUUAACACAUGCAAGUCGAGCGGAGAGAGGUAGCUUGCUACUGAUCUUAGCGGCGGACGGGUGAGUAAUGCUUAGGAAUCUGCCUAUUAGUGGGGGACAACAUUUCGAAAGGAAUGCUAAUACCGCAUACGUCCUACGGGAGAAAGCAGGGGAUCUUCGGACCUUGCGCUAAUAGAUGAGCCUAAGUCGGAUUAGCUAGUUGGUGGGGUAAAGGCCUACCAAGGCGACGAUCUGUAGCGGGUCUGAGAGGAUGAUCCGCCAAACGGGGACUGAGACACGGCCCAGACUCCUACGGGAGGCAGCAGUGGGGAAUAUUGGACAAUGGGCGCAAGCCUGAUCCAGCCAUGCCGCGUGUGUGAAGAAGGCCUUAUGGUUGUAAAGCACUUUAAGCGAGGAGGAGGCUACUUUAGAUAAUACCUAGAGAUAGUGGACGUUACUCGCAGAAUAAGCACCGGCUAACUCUGUGCCAGCCGCCGCGGUAAGAC
rnacentral:rRNA from 1 species